UACGUAGGACACAAGCGCUAUCCGGAGUUACUGGGCGUAAAGGGCGUGUAGGCGGCGGUGUAAGUCUCUUCUGAAAGCUCCUGGCUAAACUGGGAGAGGCGAAUGGAGACUGCAUAUCUAGAGUGAGGAAGAGGAAAGUGGAAUUCCGCGUGUAGUGGUGAAAUGCGUAGAGAUCGGCAGGAAGACCAAGGGGGAAGGCAGGCACCUGGGCCCGUACUGACACUCAUGGACGAACGCGUGGGGAGCGAACCGG
rnacentral:rRNA from 1 species